rnacentral:rRNA from 1 species
UACGGGGGGGGGUAAGCGUUGUUCGGAAUUACUGGGCGUAAAGGGCUCGUAGGCGGCCAACUAAGUCGGACGUGAAAUCCCUCAGCUUAACUGGGGAACUGCGUCUGAUACUGGAUGGCUUGGAUUUGGGAGAGGGAUGCGGAAUUCCAGGUGUAGCGGUGAAAUGCGUAGAUAUCUGGAGGAACACCGGUGGCGAAGGCGGCAUCCUGGACCAACAUUGACGCUGAGGAGCGAAAGCCAGGGGAGCAAACGGG